rnacentral:rRNA from 1 species
UACAGAGGUCUCAAGCGUUGUUCGGAUUCAUUGGGCGUAAAGGGUGCGUAGGUGGCGCCGUAAGUCGGGAUGUGAAAUCCCGGGGCUCAACCCCGGAACUGCAUUCGAUACUGCUGCGCUAGAGUACUGGAGAGGAGAUUGGAAUUUACGGUGUAAGCAGUGAAAUGCGUAGAUAUCGUAAGGAAGACCAGUGGCGAAGGCGGAUCUCUGGACAGUUACUGACACUGAGGCACGGAAGGCCAAGGGGAGCAAACGGG